rnacentral:rRNA from 1 species
AUCCUGGCUCAGAGCGAACGCUGGCGGCAGGCUUAACACAUGCAAGUCGAGCGGACGUAGCAAUACGUCAGCGGCAGACGGGUGAGUAACGCGUGGGAACGUACCUUUUGGUUCGGAACAACACAGGGAAACUUGUGCUAAUACCGGAUAAGCCCUUACGGGGAAAGAUUUAUCGCCGAAAGAUCGGCCCGCGUCUGAUUAGCUAGUUGGUAGGGUAAUGGCCUACCAAGGCGACGAUCAGUAGCUGGUCUGAGAGGAUGAUCAGCCACAUUGGGACUGAGACACGGCCCAAACUCCUACGGGAGGCAGCAGUGGGGAAUAUUGGACAAUGGGGGCAACCCUGAUCCAGCCAUGCCGCGUGAGUGAUGAAGGCCCUAGGGUUGUAAAGCUCUUUUGUGCGGGAAGAUAAUGACGGUACCGCAAGAA